GACGAACGCUGGCGGCGUGCUUAACACAUGCAAGUCGAACGAAGUGGCGAACGGGUGAGUAACGCGUAAUCCACCUGCCCUUCAGAGGGGGACAACAGUUGGAAACGACUGCUAAUACCGCAUACUUAAGGAGGGGAUUGCGUCUGAUUAGCUAGUUGGAGGGGUAACGGCCCACCAAGGCGAUGAUCAGUAGCCGGUCGUGGAGGAUGACCGGCCAACUUGGGACGGGUACACGGCCCCGACUCCGACGGGGGGCAGCAGUGGGGAAUCUUCCGCAAGUGAGGAAAGUCUGACUGAGCAACGCCGCGGGAGUGAUGACAGCCUUCGGGGUGUAAAGCUCUGUUAAUCGGGACGCGGUACCGGAAUAGAAAGCCACGGCUAACUACGUGCCAGCCGCCGCGGUAAUAC
rnacentral:rRNA from 1 species